rnacentral:rRNA from 1 species
UGGGGAAUAUUGGACAAUGGGCGAAAGCCUGAUCCAGCCAUGCCGCGUGUGUGAAGAAGGUCUUCGGAUUGUAAAGCACUUUAAGUUGGGAGGAAGGGCAGUAAGCGAAUACCUUGCUGUUUUGACGUUACCGACAGAAUAAGCACCGGCUAACUCUGUGCCAGCAGCCGCGGUAAUACAGAGGGUGCAAGCGUUAAUCGGAAUUACUGGGCGUAAAGCGCGCGUAGGUGGUUCGUUAAGUUGAAUGUGAAAGCCCCGGGCUCAACCUGGGAACUGCAUCCAAAACUGGCGGGCUAGAGUAGGGCAGAGGGUGGUGGAAUUUCCUGUGUAGAGGUGAAAUGCGUAGAUAUAGGAAGGAACACCAGUGGCGAAGGCGACCACCUGGGGUCAUACUGACACUGAGGUGCGAAAGCGUGGGGGGCAAACAGG